rnacentral:rRNA from 1 species
GACGUAGGGCGCGAGCGUUGUCCGGAUUUAUUGGGCGUAAAGAGCUCGUAGGCGGCUCAUUGCGUCAACCGUGAAAACCUGCCGCUCAACAGUAGGCUUGCGGUUGAUACGGGUGGGCUGGAGUUCGGUAGGGGAGACUGGAAUUCCUGGUGUAGCGGUGAAAUGCGCAGAUAUCAGGAGGAACACCGGUGGCGAAGGCGGGUCUCUGGGCCGAUACUGACGCUGAGGAGCGAAAGCGUGGGGAGCGAACAGG